CCCUUAGAUGUCCUGGGCUGCACGCGCGCUACACUGAUGUGUCCAGUAAGCACCUAACCUCUUCCGAAAGGAACGGGUAACCUUUGCAAAGCACGUCGUGAUGGGGAUAGAUUAUUGCAAUUAUUAGUCUUGAACGAGGAAUUCCUAGUAAGCACAAGUCAUCAGCUUGUGUUGAUUACGUCCCUGCCCUUUGUACACACCGCCCGUCGCUCCUACCGAUUGAAUGUUCCGGUGAGCUCUUCGGACUGCGCGGUCUGCGGUUUCUGCGUUCCGUGCGGAAAGUUGCGCAAACCUUAACAUUUAGAGGAAGGAGAAGUCGUAACA
rnacentral:rRNA from 1 species